AUUGAACGCUGGCGGCAGGCCUAACACAUGCAAGUCGAACGAGUGGCGGACGGGUGAGUCAUGUCUGGGAAACUGCCUGAUGGAGGGGGAUAACUACUGGAAACGGUAGCUAAUACCGAAUACCCUCCGAUGUGCCCAGAUGGGAUUAGCUUGGGUGUGGGGUAACGGCUAACCAAGGCGACGAUCCCUAGCUGGUCUGAGAGACUGACCAGCAACACUGGAACUGAGCCACGGUCCAGAAGCCUACGUGAGGCAGCAGUGGGGAAGAUUGCACAAUGGGCGCAAACCGGAUACAGCCAUGCCGCGUGUAUGAAGAAGGCCUUCGGGUUGUAAAGUACUUUCAGAGGGGAGGCGUUACCCGCAGAAGAAGCACCGGCUAACUCCGUGCCAGCAGCCGCGGUAAUUC
rnacentral:rRNA from 1 species